UACGUAGGGUGCAAGCGUUGUCCGGAAUUAUUGGGCGUAAAGAGCUCGUAGGCGGUCCGUCACGUCGGCUGUGAAAACCUGGGGCUCAACCCCGGGCCUGCAGCCGAUACGGGCGGACUAGAAUUCGGUAGGGGAGACUGGAAUUCCUGGUGUAGCGGUGAAAUGCGCAGAUAUCAGGAGGAACACCAAUGGCGAAGGCAGCUCGCUGGGACGGUACUGACACUGAGACGCGAAAGCGUGGGGAGCAAACAGG
rnacentral:rRNA from 1 species